UCGGAGGUCGUCUAAUGGUAGGACGUCGGGUUCUGGCCCCGUUAAUCUAGGUUCGAGUCCUAGCCUCCGAGCAA
rnacentral:tRNA from 1 species